UACGUAGGGCGCGAGCGUUGUCCGGAAUUAUUGGGCGUAAAGAGCUCGUAGGUGGCUUGUUGCGUCUGCCGUGAAAGCCCGUGGCUUAACUACGGGUCUGCGGUGGAUACGGGCAGGCUAGAGGCUGGUAGGGGCAAGCGGAAUUCCUGGUGUAGCGGUGAAAUGCGCAGAUAUCGGGAGGAACACCGGUGGCGAAGGCGGUUCUCUGGGCCUGUACUGACGCUGAGGAGCGAAAGCGUGGGGAGCGAACAGG
rnacentral:rRNA from 1 species